GACAGAGGGUGCAAACGUUGUUCGGAAUUACUGGGCGUAAAGCGCGUGUAGGCGGCUAAGUAAGUCGGGCGUGAAAUCCCACGGCUCAACCGUGGAAGUGCACUCGAAACUGCAUAGCUAGAGUCCUGGAGAGGAAGGUGGAAUGCUUGGUGUAGAGGUGAAAUUCGUAGAUAUCAAGCGGAACACCGGUGGCGAAGGCGGCCUCUGGACAGUGACUGACGCUGAGACGCGAAAGCGUGGG
rnacentral:rRNA from 1 species